rnacentral:misc_RNA from 1 species
AUAACGUAUGGCUACAUGGAAUCUAUUUGUUAAAUGUUGCAUUUCUGCUACUUCUUUUCUCACUAGGAUGAGUUCCUUGAUGUAAUAUACUGGUUUCGACAAGUUUUAGCAAUUCUCUUAGGCAUUAUUUGGGGUAUACUGCCUUUGAAAGGAAUUCUUGCCAUAGGACUAUUUGCGUUAAUAAAUGCUGGUGUUUUGUAUAUAUACUUCACAAACUUUCAAAAGAUUGAUGAGGAAGAAUAUGGUGGGCCAUGGGAACUGACUAAAGAAGGUUUUAUGACAUCAUUUGCUUUAUUUCUGGUAGUCUGGAUCAUAUUUUACUCUGCAGUUCAUUUUCCCUAACUUUGUUUUAAAGAAAGAGUCUAUGACAUGUUUAUGCCUCUACGCUAAGUGGAAAAGCGAGUCUUCAAUGCAGUCAUCCUCAUUGUAUUAUUCUCAUGGUCGCUGUUGGUAUCAAGAUUACAUAUGCUGCUUGGCCAAGAGAAGAGAAAUUUGAUACUAAAAUUGUUCAAGAUGACAGUGCUCUUAUCUUUACUAAAAUGUUGGGAAAAAUACCAGAUGUUAUUUUCUACAGCAGUUGUGGAGAAAUUGUUUACAAUCCCGUCUGUUUCUGUAUAAUUCUAUCAAUGCAUAGAAGAACCUCAUAGUAACUGGGUCCCUGCCAUUGUGAAAAUUCCCCCAAGAUUUGUGGUUUAUUAAAGUUUACAAAAUAUAUAUAUUUUCUUUUAGAAUAAUUUACAGACAAGGUAUUUUGACUGCUUGACGUUCUACAGCUGACCUCAAAAGUAGCAAAUAUGUCCUGUAUUGAAAAAAUGUGACUGACUUUGGUUUUAAUUAGUUCAGUUGCAACAACAUUUUUUUGCAUAGAAACAUAGAAGAUUACUGUUCUCUGGAUUUCUUCUUUGUAAGCCAAACUUAGUGUCAGAAGUGUACUAUCACAAUAGACAAUAAACAGUCUUAUUUAUUUAAGUGAAAAUGGAUACAAAUCAUGUUGUAUUUUAAUAGGGUUCACACUACUUUUGAAUUCCUGAAAACUAGAAUUUUGAUGUUUUCUUCAGGGCCCUGGUACACUCUUCGAAAAUUUUCUCCUUCCACGUGUUCUUGAAAUACUACUGGAAUUCUACCAUCUCUAAGAAGUAUGAACCUUGUUUUAACUACUACAACAACUCUUUCUGUGACAGGAUUUUUAUAAAAAAGUUAACUAUGUAUAUAUAUGUGUGUGUGUGUGUAGUGUGUCCUGGAUUAAUCAUGACUUGUACAAUCCCCCACAAAUGUUUGUUUUAUAUAUAUUUAUCACACAGUAUAAAGAUGCAGAAUUGCUACCUUUUGUGUGAUCACUGUUAUCAGAUAAUUUUCAAGUAAAAAUGUUUGUGCUUUAAUUCAAGUCAAGAAGUAACAUAGGCACUUGUCUUUGCCCUGCUUUUAUACAGAUCCUUUUGGUUAAUGUAACAUAAUAACACUCUCCAUCUACCCAAGCCAGAAAAUAUGUAGAGUGGACUGCUGUAUUGAUUCUGUUUAGGUUUUGUAAUUGAAAAAAGAAAUUAAUGUGAUCUGAUAAAUGUCAUUAAAAUUACCUUCGGCUGCUAAUUUGAUGAAUUCAGUGCAGUGGUUUAAUUUGUAUCCUGCGUUGUAAAAGUCUCCUUUCUAUCCAACCUUCCCAAAAUUGUUAGAAACACAGUGAACCCCACUUUUUUAAUUCAUAUUGCAUUGUACAAUAUAUGGCAAUUUGAAGAAAAUUUUUAAGUAUGUCUGCUUUAAGAUAAUUUCAUUUGAAUGCUCUGAUGAAGAUGCUUUUGGGAAAUGAUUUAUGUCCAUAAGCAGUUAAUCUUUCAAUUUGUUCAUGAUCUUAGUCCUUCUCAAUUGUUAAAAACAAUUCUCAUUUUAUUGAACUGCUGUAACAUUUUGAUGUGCAAAUCUUCUGACUUUCUGACUCUAAAGUUCCUAAUAAAAACAUUGUUGGAGAUCCUACUUUGUACGCUGUGCGGGCCUACUAUUGCCAAGCUUUUCUGCUCGAGGGAUGGGAGAGCUGUGUACAGUAGCAUGUCGAUCACGUGCUUCUUGACCGCACACCUUUGUUGUGCUAAUGUGAUUGAAACUUCAGAGUGAUUCUUUAAUGUUGGAAUUUGAACGGAAAUAUAAACAUGCAGGGAAACAAAAACUGACACAAACAAUGACUUUAAGUGAUUCGCCGGUAUAGUUGACGUGCUCGCUUUAAAAAUCUUGUUCUGGUAGUUCAUGACAAACUCUAGUUGAAACGAGACAUGACCGCCAUGUUCCCCGUGGCGAACGGACUUCAAAUGUCAGAGAACGGUGAGGCGAGAAAUGAUCGUGGGAGCUCGCUUGAAGUGGAUGACAGUGAACUAGGCUCUCGCAAGACAUCUGCCAGAUGGAAGUUACAACAUAAAAGACAAGUUUUAAAUCAGAAAAUAUUCAAGCAGACGAAGUUGCGAGACGGAGCAGAGAAUUUGAUGAAAGCCCUCAGGUUUGAAAAUUAUUAGUUAAUUCAGUUUAACCUAAUAAAGCUUGCGAAUGUACAUAAGCUCAAUAAACCUUUGGUCUCUCUAUUUAGGUGUCGGCUUGUCAUUUCUAGAAUUUUCUGUUGUAUAACUAUUGUAAAUUAAUUUGAUACACAUAUUUCAGGGUCUGUUUGUUUUGAUAGAGAAGAAUGCGAGUGCCCUCUUCUAUAUUUUAGAUUUACAUAUUUGAAAGUUUGCAAUCGGAUCAAAUUGAAUUAGGUUGUAUGAUAUAAAGAUGAUUGACCAAUUCAAACCUGAGGCCAAGAUGGUUGGAUAUUGGCCAAGUUUAUUUUUUGCGUGUUCAUGGACCAAGACAGAGUCAAAAAUACACACCCCGCGAUGGAUGACAAGCAUUUUUGACCCCCCUUCUGACUGGAUUUUCCAGACCGCUAGAGCCCCGCUCCCACCCGGAUUUCCACUUUUUUUUUUAAAAAGGCCUUAACUGGAAACAACAGGCAAUAGAAAGACGUAGCAUUUCAUCCAAAAGAUCCCUGUUUAUUAUAAUUUUUAAAGCUCUGCAAAUAUUGCGAAUUUUGCAGGUUAAAUUUCAACAUUUUUUAAAUCAGGUUAUUCAAAUGAUCGUGUUUAACGUUUGAGUGAUCUCACACUCUCCUCUAAAACGCCAUUUGCCUUUUUCUGCACCACAACAAAUGUACAAGAUAAGAAAUUCAUAAGUCUUAAAAAUGAUGUAAAUGUUAGCAAAAUUACAGCGAAAAAAGUCCUGAAGGCGAUUAUAAAUAAAAACUAUAAUUUCAGUUUUCAGUGACAAGACAGCCUGCAUUGGCACGUGUUUACAAGAUCGAGUUCCCGUUGUUAGGACUGUUAGUGUGACAUUUACUUAAGCUUGUUAAGAAAGCUUUUCGAACUAGACUAAUUUUAAAUUUUGUUACCUUUAUGGGUCUGUAGGUCAACUGGAACUGUUCCUUUCUUUCAAGUAUUCAAAUUUUUAUGCGUAAUACCCACGUUAAUUUCUGGCUUCCACUAACUUGUCUUUUACCAUAUCGGUCGCUAUUUCAGUGGUGCUCAAAAGCAUUGAAAAAAUAAAUCCUUGCCUGUGCUUAUGCAGAAAUAUUGGGGUAUAUCGCGGCAUUUACCACGAGCAAAAUUUUGGACAACCUUGAUUCUACAAGAAAAGUAAUUGUUUCAGUGGAUCUAAUUAUUUUGCAUGGCAGUAUCGUAUCCACGAUUUUACAGUUACACAUCGUAAGAGGUAAGAAAGAAAUUAUACGCAAAUUGUGCAUAUGCAUGUUAGCCAGCAAAACGAGUUCUUGGGUUGCCUGAAUAAAACAGAAAAGUACAACUGACUCUCAGCCUAAUCGCCUUUUCUUCGCAUUUUUGAGGAUGUUACAAAGCACAGGCGGGGGUGGCCUGGGUACCGUAAAAAUGUUCCAGUCAUUGCAUGCUCAGUCAACGGUGUUUCAUCCAGUCAUAAAGCUGUUGUUAUCCAUUUAUCGCGCUGGUUCUUCAUGAUUGACAGGGCCUAUGAAGGUAAACUUAAAGCAUGGGGGGUAAGAACACUAUAAACUGAAAGACUAUAAGAUUUCC